AUUGAACGCUGGCGGCAGGCCUAACACAUGCAAAUCGAACGGUAACAGGAAGCAGCUUGCUGCUUCGCUGACGAGUGGCGGACGGGUGAGUAAUGUCUGGGAAACUGCCUGAUGGAGGGGGAUAACUACUGGAAACGGUAGCUAAUACCGCAUAACGUCGCAAGACCAAAGAGGGGGACCUUAGGGCCUCUUGCCAUCGGAUGUGCCCAGAUGGGAUUAGCUAGUAGGUGGGGUAACGGCUCACCUAGGCGACGAUCCCUAGCUGGUCUGAGAGGAUGACCAGCCACACUGGAACUGAGACACGGUCCAGACUCCUACGGGAGGCAGCAGUGGGGAAUAUUGCACAAUGGGCGCAAGCCUGAUGCAGCCAUGCCGCGUGUAUGAAGAAGGCCUUCGGGUUGUAAAGUACUUUCAGCGGGGAGGAAGGGAGUAAAGUUAAUACCUUUGCUCAUUGACGUUACCCGCAGAAGAAGCACCGGCUAACUCCGUG
rnacentral:rRNA from 1 species